rnacentral:pre_miRNA from 1 species
ACUGGGGGGGGGGCGUCCCCUCAGCCUGGAUUGCAAAAGGGCGCCGGCCAGACUGAGGGACCCCACCGGUGCACG